AAUUACUUCGAAAUGCUUUUUCGACUUUCUAUUUAUCCCUUUUUAGAAGGUUAAUAUUGAAAAUAUUCUUUUUACGUUCAAAUCUAUUUCAAAUAUACUUCUAGAGUUAAAAUUUGUUAAUUAAUUCUAUUAUAUGUAUAAAAUUAUUUUUUUGCCCUUUCAAAUAUACCCUUCCGCCAUCACCGACCUUUUUUAUUUGUCCUUAAAGUCAGGGUACAAAAAACAUUUUGACUUUUGGUCUUUUCAAAUAUACUCCUCUACCGUCACUAACAUUUUUUAUAUGCCUUUAAGUUAAGGGCAAAAUUGAUAUUUUAAUUUUUUUUAACUGUGGUAGAUAUUUAACUCACGUUUAAUCCAAGUUAACUUAACAAAAGAUAACUGCGCGAGUAAUUUGCAAUAACGGUGGAACAUAUCAGGAGUAUUUUAGAAAGAAAAAAAAAGUAGAGAUAAAUUAGAUAUUUUCAAACGUAUAAGAGGUAUAUAGACAAUUAUCCUUUUUUUCUACUAAAAAAGAAUUUUUGAUGUUUGAUUUCUUGUAAAAAAAUUUUUACAAAUUUUUGAAAAACACCGGUUUUCAUUUUUCGAGAACGAAAACUGAUAUCAAAACACGCCGCUCAGGAAGCCUUUUGCGCACGCAAUCCGUGAGGUUAUCUUCACCUCCUGGACUACACAUGAUUGAGAGUCCACGGUGGACCCCGUGGACUUUCUCUCCCUCUUCCAUUAUAUAUAUAUAUAUAUAUAUAUAUAUAUAUAGAACUAGGCUGGAAUACUAUCAAUAACACCAAACAUUUGGUGCUAUUAGUUUUUUAGCCAUUAGAUUGAAAAUUGUGUGGUUAGGAUAAUGUGGGCCCUUAGGGUUGAGUGGAUGUUAGUUGAAUAGUAUAAUCUAACGGAUAAAAUAAUCAAAACGUUAAAUUUAACAGUGAAAAAAUUGAUAAUAUCAAAUCCUUAGUGCUAUCGAUAGUAUCCCAUAUAUAUAUAUAUAUAUAUAUGCCGUGUCUACUAUACUAUUAGGAGUAUUGGAGCCCUCGUGCUCAUAAGUUGUUUUCGAUGAUGGAGCUUUCGAAUCGACGAUCCACUCCAUUAAAUAUGAUCUAGAGUAUUUGAAACUUCUAGAAAAUAAAUUUCGUAAAUUUUCGAAAUCAUAAUAAAGUCCAUCAAGUGGGCAUAAAAUGAACGGUCAAAAUCGAACGACGUCCUAAAAAGGAUGAUCGGAUACUUCAAUUCAAGAUCGGAGUUAUUGAUCUUUAUCUAUGUAGUGAAUAGAAUUUUCUAUCAAAAAUUCAACUAUUUCGAUUCUUU
rnacentral:lncRNA from 1 species